GUGCUUGCGCAUGCAGCACAUAUGUCAAAUUGUAACAGAGAAGAUUAGCAUGGCCCUUGCAGAAGGAUGACACGCAAAUCCGUGAAGCGUUUCCACAUGUAU